UACCAUUCCAAAAAUUGGAGGAGUUCGUGUGUAUUUUUGUCCAUAGAGAGGAUGACCCUGGCUGAAUCGAAGAAUAGCCUUUCGAUUAACUAUUUUAUUUUGAAGACGGGGUUUUUUAGCUGCUCACAAAUGCAGGACUUUUAAGUGGCGAUUAAUUCGUCUAAAUCUGGUCUUUAAACCAUUCGGAGAAUGGGAAAAUGGCAGUGGGUUUGGAGGUUUCCUUGAGAAGAUUGGUUUCAGCAUUUGCAAAUCAAGCACUGGACUUUCUGGAGAGUUACUACCUAUCUAGGAGGGUUGACAAACGCCAUUCUUGCAUUUGAUUUCUUGGAUAUCGCUCUAUUGUUCUCAUUUUCCCUGAAACUUCUGCGUCAUAUGCUCCUGAAAUGGAAGCUGCAUCUCUUCGCCUGCCCUCGGUUCAUGGUGGAAUCCAUUGAAUACGUUGGUAAAGCACAAGAUUACGGCCGAAAAGCAGAGGUGCACUGGCAUUGUGUAUGAAGACUUGCUUUUUGGAACCAUGACAAUUUCUAAGGCUCAAAACUACAUAUUGCAGAGAUCAUGCAUCGGGAAGUGAAUAUACAUUCUCCAAAGGAUCCAAUCCUAAAUCAAUGCAGAAGUUGAUCAAGGUUUGCAUCUCUUGUUAUAUAAAUACAUGUAUUUGUGUAUCAUUUAUAGUCUUGUUUGAAGGAUACCUAUGCCUUGUAGUGAUCCUGCAGUCAUUAUACUCAGAUUAAGAUGUCUUGGGUAGGUUGAGGAAGGGCAAUUGUAUCUGAAGAUUAGGUUUCUACCAGGACAGAGUAGUUGUUGCUGUAGGAUUAUCUCGGCUUGUGAAUGUUCUCAUUUAAUGUUUGGUUAGAGGAACUCAAAUCAAGUUCUCUAGCUUCCAAUAAAUGUGUCUCUCGUACUAAAAACAUUUACAAAUUAUUACUCAUAAUUUUCAUUA